CUUAAAGAGCAGGCUGUGUGUCUUCUCUCGCCUCAGAGGAGAAAGGAUUAAGGAAGGGAAGGCAUGCUUCCUCAGGGACAGACACCCAAGUUCAGUCCUGAGGCACCUAGCCUCCUUGCAAGAAGACAUCGUCGUCCCCCAUGCUGCACCUGCCUCAACAGCUCUGGCGGCUGCAUUCCACAAACCCAUUUCCCGGUGGUACAAGCAAUGCCACUCUAGAACAGAGGUGAGGUUAAGGAACUGCUGUGACAAACGCCAUGUCCAAAGCAACUAGGGAGGGAAGGCUUUAUUUGGCUUAUACUUCCACAUCACAGUUCAUCAGAUGAUGGAAAUCCAGGCAGGAGCUGAAGCAGAGGGCAUGGACGACCGCGGCUUCCUGGCUUGUUCUCCAGGACCACCUUCCGGGUGAGGGAAAUUGGAAGGGUGUGGUGGAACCAUCACUACCGGCUGGACUCUCUCACAUCUAUCUUGCACAAGAAGACGCCCUCUCACCCUGGCCACCAGAACAGAAGAUUUUGCCACCUAGCAGGAGGCUCCAUCCUCUUCCAGACCUCUUCCCUCCAUCAUCCCGUGGUGCUCAGUGCUCCGGAUGGAUGGAGUGCUCAGACCACCUGCUGGGUGCUAUUAGAUGCUGCACCCAGUUUCAAGUUUCAGGAACUAUGGCCUGUUCUCCCUAGGGAAAUCCUUAGCCCAACCCAAAGGAGGGAAGAAGGUCCAGGAAAGAGCUGAAGAAUUUGAUUUCAACAAGUGAACAGAUGUGGCUGGUAUGAAGUGACAGUUGAUGCUCAGUGGUCUUGUAAGACUUUGGGUGGAGAAGGGGCCUAUUCAAGAGCCACACACAGGGCUUUGAUAAGCAGGGCCUUAAUAUGUUGCUGUCCAUAAGUUGACAUAGAGUUUCUGUUGCUGUUUCCUGCUGUGUGUCAGGGG